UACGUAGGGUGCGAGCGUUAAUCGGAAUUACUGGGCGUAAAGCGUGCGCAGGCGGUUUUGUAAGCCAGAUGUGAAAGCUCCGGGCUUAACCUGGGAAUGGCAUUUGGGACUGCAAGGCUGGAGUGUGGCAGAGGAGACUGGAAUUCCUGGUGUAGCAGUGAAAUGCGUAGAUAUCAGGAGGAAUACCGAUGGCGAAGGCAGGUCUCUGGGCUGACACUGACGCUCAUGCACGAAAGCGUGGGGAGCAAACAGG
rnacentral:rRNA from 1 species